AGUGGAGUUACUAGGUCAUAUGGUAGGUAUAAAUUUAACUUUGUAAGAAACUGCUACAAUUUUUUCCUAAAUGGUCUUAUCAUUUGUAUAUUCAGCAGCAGU
rnacentral:pre_miRNA from 1 species